AAAAGAAACUAACAAGGAUUCCCCUAGUAACGGCGAGUGAAGCGGGAACAGCUCAAAUUUUAAAUCUGGCUGCUUUGUAGUCCGAGUUGUAAUUUGAAGGAGUCUUGCCGCUGGCAAAACGAUGGCACAAGUCCUCUGGAACGGGGCAUCGUAGAGGGUGAGAAUCCCGUCUCUGGUCAUCACGCGCUGGCAUACGGCAGGCAUCCGAAGAGUCGAGUUGUUUGGGAUUGCAGCUCCAAAUGGGUGGUAAACUCCAUCUAAGGCUAAAUAUUGGCGAGAGACCGAUAGCGAACAAGUACCGUGAGGGAAAGAUGAAAAGAACUUUGAAAAGAGAGUAAAACAGUACGUGAAAUUGUUGAAAGGGAAACGAUUGAAGUCAGUCAUGCCGGCGUUGGAUUCAGCUUGCUUCGCGGAGCUUGCGCAUUUCCUCGCAUGGCAGGUCAGCGUCAGUUUUGCGCGGCGUGAAAAGGCUCGGGUAAGGUAGCUCUCUUCGGGGAGUGUUAUAGACCUGGGCAAAUGCGCAGCGCGGGACUGAGGAUUGCAGCG
rnacentral:rRNA from 1 species